GUAGACAACCUAUUCACCUUAAUCACUUUCUCUUACUAUAUUCCUAAAAACCAUAAAUUUCUCCCUUUCUCUUUCUACGCUCAGCCUCUCAAGGCCUCAAGCUGCUACUCCGCCCCACCGCCAUGCCGCCACCUCAAGUUCAGCCGCUUAAGAUCUCCUUCAGUCUUUCACUCGCCCAGAUCUCCUAAUACUCGUAUUUUCUCGGCUAAUCUCCACCUCUCCGGUGUCGGUUGUUGAUGACUACAUUUGAGGAAUUCAUUUCAGGCGUAUUAUUGGUACUGUUUUUUUUUUUUUUUGCUACUUUUUUUAUUAUGUAGUAAAAUGACUUAUGUAAACUUUGUAAUGUUAAGACUUUAUUAAGCUUUGUAUUUUUAAUUUGAGGAGUUGGAUUUGUAAUGCACUAAGACUAAUGCUAGUAUGCCACUACUUCGUAUAUGAGGAGUUAUAUGUUAAUUAAUGGUUUUUUAUUAA